rnacentral:misc_RNA from 1 species
UCUACAAUGAAAAAAAUCAGACAUAACACAAUAUUUUACUUGAUUCACCCUUUCAACACAAGGUUACAUCCAUAAGUAUGCGAUCAUCUACUAUCAACAAAUUGUACAAAAUACAUUAUAAGCUUGAAACUUCACUCACUACCCAUUAGCUCAAUUAAUUUGAUGAAUUGCUACUCAACUUGGCUGGUUGAACUGGUUGCUUUUCUAUUCACUAGGUUGAAUCAAUCCUAAGCCUUCAUGUACCAUGUAAACUUGCUAUUUGCUAAAUUCUGAUUGUUUCUCUUUUGAUUGUAUGACUUCAAGAUAUAUGCAAACCCUUUGAAAGUGGUUUUGCUCUCAAAAUGUUAUCUGGGAUUUUAAUCUCAGAACCAGAUCACAUGGGAGGUAUUUUCCUUUCUUAUGAAUCCUCUAAUUCCAGUGUGCCAGUCUGCCAGAGAGGUAGUGCAAUGUCCAAAUUUUGAUCCGUGAAUACCGCCUAAACUGCAAUACUUAAUAGAAAAAAAAAGAUUAAUAAAUAAUAAUUGCUAAACUAUAUGAAUAGACACAGUUGACAGAUAUUGCUGAGUUGAAAACCAUUGAUUAGUGGCUGUAUUGGAUUUAAGGUGACUUCCAUUCUUUUUAUUCUUUAUUUGUUUGGCACUUCUAACCAUAAACUAUAUGCAUCAUUAUGACAGGUAAACCAGAAGAUGAUACUUG